GACAAGGAGAAGCUUUGGUUGAUAAGAACCUCCGGCCAACAGGGCAUCAGAGAAGACAUAUCCAAUGGGUACUGAGAAACAAACAGCCAUACUUGGAGAGGGUCCAGGACCAUCUGGUGGAUUCUCUUCAGUGUUUCAGAGAUCUGUUCUAGUUUUUGGUUGCUGUGCAACAAAUACCCUAAACCUAGUGGUAUAAAACAAUAGUCACGCCUUAUCACCUCUCAAUUCUGGACUCAGGUAGUUCUUUGGGCUUUCCUUAUUUGCUUGUGGUCAGAUGCUGGCUGGAGCUGGAGUCAUCUAGAAGACCUCCUCACUCAUAUGUCUGGUGGCUGAUGCUGCCUGGGAUUUCUCACAGCAGAAGCUUGCCAGCAAGAAGAUUCCUGAGACAGGUAAAAGGCUUUUCUAAUGAAGUCAUAAAGCAUCACUUCUGCUGUACUCUAAUUACCUAGAAACGAGUGACACCCCAUACUCAAGAGUGAAACUGACACCAUCUCUCUUAAUGGGAGAAGUGUCAAAAGAACUUGCAGGCAGUUUAAAACCAUUAGUCUACAUUCUAGCCCGAUGCAGCCUUCCCUGCAAAACAGUCACCUCUUCCAAGAUUUCCUGAAGUCCUCUUAACCCAUCAGGAUUAAGCUAGUGCUAUAGGACCCCGUGUCAUGUAAACUGGCUCAGGGUACAGAACCAGUCCCUCUGGUGAAGUUUCCCAAGUACUAAUCCUCACUAUCUUUAGUUCCAUAACUAAGGAGACAAAUUGUGUACUCCUCUUCAUGCACCCAACAUUGGUGAGCUGCUGGGAUGGAGGUGAGCAAUCUGAUAUUUUUCAAGGGGAGGCACAUAAUAGACAUUUGUUCAUAACAAUUCUGAAAUACUUUUGGAUCCAGUUCUGUUCUUUGGGAACACUCCAAUUUUUGCCUCUCAGUUCUUGGGCCUGCCCUUUAAAUUCUUUCCUGUUCAAAUAAAAAAUGUUGUCUGGGAUGUAGCUCAGUGGUAGACCACUUGCUUAGUAUGCAGGAGAACCUGAGUUCAAUUCCCAGCCCUGCAAAAAUAAAAAGCAGCUAGAGUUUGCAGUUGAUUAUUUGUAGAAGUUGAGGGUUCAAAGGCUAUUUUUCAUUUUUUAUUGUUUUCAUUCCUACUAGUCUAAGCUGUGGUAUGUCUGCCAAUAUAAUUAUCUAAAAAACUUGUGGUUUACUGUGAAUCUUACCAGGGAUUUACUCCAUUACACAAAUUCCAAACCCACAAAUCUCUCUGGGACAAGCUUUCCUACCUUGAGCUCUUUGUAAUGCUGCUUUGGGAGAAGGCCAUGAAGGUUCUUAAGCCCUCUCCUUCACCUUUUAUUAAAUGGGGAGGACCAAUGAGGCAUACACUUGGAAGGCCUUGUCUGUAUGUGUGCAGUGCAGGAAUGAAGCCGGGGCCUCAAACAUGCAAGAAAAGCACUCUUACCACUGGGUACACCCCGAGCCCGGUCUUUUGAAAGGGUCUUUGGGGCUUCAUCUAAAAUCUCCCUGAGGUCUUCCAGACACACCCUUGGCUUCAUGUUCAGAAUGUUUUCCUGGGUUUGUUCUCUGGACAGGAGCUAUUUCUUAAUUUCAGUGUCCUUUGCCAUCUGGGCAGGCUUGGAAUAAGAAUGUUAAUAACAAUUUUAAAAAGUUAUCAAGUCUUGGUUCCUUUAUUUAAUAGUGCUUCAGCUUUUCUUUUUAUUUCAGGCAGAUAGAAGACAUGUUGCCCUUCAACAAUCUGCCUGGAGACCUGAAUAGUUAUUCUUUGAAUUACUAGACACAUUUCUUAUUCACUAUGAUAUUGAAUGUGGUCGUGUUGCAAAAAUCUUUGUUGUGACAUAGCAAGAAAUCCUUUCCUCCAAAUUCCAAUAACAUUUUCUUCAUUUUACUUUAUGCCCUGACAGGCCCUCAAGAUCCAUCAGGCUUCCACCAAGUUUCCUCAGUUUUGCCAAUUUCCACCUGUUGCCUAGUCACAAACAUAUCAGCGUUUUGUAAUGGCAGGCCCUACUUAGAUAAUAACCUAUGCCAUAAUCUCUCAGUCCUGCAUGCCUGCUGACCUCAGCUGGGAUUUCCACUCCACUUGGAGCCUCAUGCAAUUGCAGCCAGAUGGUUGGGUUUGGAAUCUUGAAGUCUUCCUUGCAGGACUGGUGGUUAAUGGAGGCUGCUGGUUUGGAUGCUCACAAGCAAGCCCCUCCACAAGACCUAGGAUUCCUUGCAGCAUACUGACUGCCCAGCAAAAGCAAUCCUCCCAAGACAGCCAGGUAGAAGUUGUAUUGCUAUUUCUAACCUAGACUCCAAAAUCACAGAGCAUCAUUCCCACAGCAUUCUACUAUUCAAGGAGAAAAAGUACACUCUACUUUUGAGGAGUAUUGGAAACUUCUAUGCACAUCAUUAAAAACCUCCUGGCCUCUGUUCUUUUCAGUCAUAAAGGUAUUUGAGGUGUGUCAUGCUCACAACUGAGGAAAGAAGUCUAGGACAGUCAAGUCAGAGAGCACAUUUAGGUUCUAGGGCUUAACUUAUUCAUUUUCUGUGACCUUCAGCAAAACACCUGGUCUCUCCAAGCCAACUAAUUCAUCUGAUUCUACAAAUAUGAAAGUGUAAUUUCCAAUAAAGGGAGUUAGUACAGGUGGGCUAAUGAGAACAUACCUGCCUUUUAAAAUUUUUAUUUAAUUAUUUUAUUUUAGUUAUACAUGACAGUAGAAUACACUUUUUGUAUGAUACAUCAUAUAUAAUUCUCAUUCUUCUGGUUGUACAUGAUGUAGAAUUACACUGGUCUUAUAUAUGUACAUAGGGAAUAAUGUCUGAUUUAUUCUACUAUUCUUCCUACCUCCAUAACCCUUCCCCACUCCUCAAUCCUCUCUACCUAAAGUAACUUUAUUCUUCCUUACAGUGCCCCCCCCCCAAUUGUGAAUUAGCAUCCGCAUAUCAGAGAAAACAUUCAGCUUUUGGUUUUUUGGGAUUGGCUUAUUUCACUUAGAAUGAUAUUUUCCAGCUCCAACCCAAGUAGCACUGAUCAUUAAGAGAGUUGGUAAUACCAUUUGUGGCUGACAAAAAAUGUGCAGAAAGUUUUUUGAAACAUUCUCAGCACAUAAUGUUUUCAGAGUGAGAAACUCUGGCUUGUGACCAAGCCCACUGUAAAGCAAUGACAAUUUUAAGCUGAGGGGGAUAUAUAUUCUUUGGUUUAAAAGUUAACCAGCCUAAAUAUAAACUUAAAAGUCUAUUCAAGAAGACUGAACAUCCCUCCCCAUUCCUGCAUUAUCAUGUCAGCAAAAAAAAAUACUAUUUGGGAAUGGUGAAACACAUUUUUUUUAGUGUCAUCCAAGUAUAAACCACUGGGAUAGGUACAUAUAUAUUUCAUUUCCACCUAAUGGCUUAAAGGCUACUACAUGAGAUCACACAAGUGUGUAGAUAACUAUAAUAAAUGGCAUUAUGCUAAUGAGCAUGACUCAGUUCUUAGAAAUGAUGAGUUAUAAGAAGGGAGGGUUCACAAUAGGUCAGCACAGGGAAGAACAGCCUCUGUAAGCAAGGGCAUUUUGAGAAAGCCCUUGUGGAAAUGGUAGGACAUUCAGAACCAAAAUGUGAGGGAAAAAUAAUCUCAACAUUUAUUCCCCUGGAUCACUACAAAAGUCUGUUGAAGAAAUACUUUCAGUGGGGCUUAAGAUACAUGGAAAUAGGUGACUGAAAAGAUAGUCUGAAACAUUAAGAGUCUGAAACAUUGAGUAUUCAGGUGUUAAAAUUUCCUAAGCUCAACUAUAAAGUAAGUGCCUCAAUAAAACUGUAAAAAUCCAGCUCUAAAUUCUCUUCAAAAUGACCUACAAACUAGGAACUGACAACUCCCCUUGACUAAGCAUUAAGGUUUUCAUUGUCUGCCUUUGGAGAUAUGGGGCUCCCAAGGACAUUGACCCAUCUGUCCUCUCCUUUCACUUUAACCUCUGAGUUUUCUAGGAUCAAGAAAGCAUCCUAUUAAUAUAACACAUCCUCACUGAUCAUGCUAGCAAGACAAAAAGGAGCUGAUACUUUUGAUACAGGAAUUCCCUAGACUGACAUCUUAACUUCUGUUUUUGCAACCUCUCUUUCAAGUUUUGGGAGCCAGGAAACCUGAUCAUCAUAAACAUAAUUUCAGUUCAGUUGCCUCCCAACGGUUUCUUCUUGGGCAAAUCACUUAACAUCCCCAAGUUUCCCCAUAGUGAAACUGGAGUUUGAGAUGAAACCAGAUUUUCCAUUUUUGCUGGUGGGUAGGCUCCAUCUAAAUUAUAGGAAUCUACUGCUGAUGAAGCCGGCUUUAGUGGUAGCAGCUAUCACACAUUGAAGUGGCGCUGGGGUCAGUUCCCAGAACUGCAGCCAGAAAAGCCAGAUUAAUCUCCAUUACUACUGAAGUCACCUGUUGCAGCUUUCAGUGGUGGGCUAUGAACCCCCACACCUAAUCUAGUAUUGCAGCAGACCCCAGCAGCUUCCUGCUGAUUUCUUCCUGGGUUCUUGUUCUAGGAUUGCAAGAAACCCAAGGAUAAAGAAGGUGAGAGUGAAAGGAGUAGGAUUUGAGAAGAAAAGCAGCAGAUCUCUCCCUGGAGAAGGGACCUGAUAGCCCGUUGCCACCCAAGUGUACCAGUCUAGAAGUUAAUUAAUGUAGCUAUCAGGUAGGGUGCUGGUCUAUAGCCUUCAUUCAGGUCUGUCCAGUCCUAUCUUUCCCUGUGGACACCCUCCCCCCCAGGUUAAUUUUAUAUAGUGGUCUUUACAUUUAAAGAAAAGCCCUUUUUUGGCUUUUAAGUGGCUGCCUGUUUUACUAUCUAUCCUUUUAUUCAGUAUUAGUUAAAAUGCCUAUAAUCCCAGUGACUGGGGAGGCUGAGGCAGGAGGGUCACAAGUUUAAGGCCAUACUUGGCAACUUAGAGAGACCUUGUCUGAAAAACAAAAACAAAAAAGCAAAACCACAAAUAGGACCAGGGAUGUAACUCAGUGGUAGAGAGCCUCUGAGUUCAAUCACCAGUACCAAAUAAAUAAAUAAAUAAAAUCCUUUACUGAGUUUUUGUAAGGAUGAACCAAGAUAACUUACUUGGCAUGCAGGUUGACACAGUGAAUGCUCAAAUAACAGAGCCAUCACUAUUAUUGGCAUAAUCUCAUUAAUAUUAAAAAAACCUGAUAAGAAUUAACAUAAAGACUGAUGUGAACAGCUUCACUCAUAGUCAUACUUUUAAGAUAGUUAGGUAUAGUCAAUCUACACACCAUAUUUAUAUUAAUUUAUAUUCUUCUAUUGCCUUUUUAAUUUAUAAGUCCAGAUACACUGCUAAGCAUGUUAGUUUCUUCCACACACCAAUAGAAAUUAACAUACUGAAAAAAUACUGCAAUAAUGUUUCUAAAGCCAGUCAUUGACUUUAAGUAUUUAGAAAUGGCUCUUAUGUUCCAGAAUCUGUUCAAGGUGCAGGGGAUAUGUGAUGAACAAGACAGAAGGUCCCUGCUCUCAUGGAGUGCACAUCCAAGUGGGAGAAGAGACACUAAAUAAGCAGACAGGAUGAGGUGAGUAAUGAUAAGUGCUAGUAAGAAAGGAACAGGAAUCAGAAUAAUGGGGGUGGUCAUCUUCUUUAGAUAGAAGUACCAAAGACUGACAGAUUUUACAUUUAUUUCAUUCUUCCACAAUAAGUGUUGUGAAAUCAGGGACUUUUGAUAGUUUUGAGCACUAUCAUAUCCCUGGGACUGAAAUACUACCCAACACAUAACUGGCACUGAGUGAGCUAAGUAAUGAGAAGUCUAUCAUAUUAAGGUUGUGAAGGAAGUAAGUACCUUUCUUGAAUGUUGAAUCAACUAUAUAUUUUUUUAUUCAAUGCCUUUCUGAGGAAGUGACAUUUAUAUGCAGAUUUAAAUAAAGACCAGCCAAGAGAUUUGGAGGAAGACCAUAAAUAUUAUCUUUAAAAAAAAAAAAUCUAUCUUGCUUUUCUUUUUCCAGCAUUGACUCAGUGGGCCUAAAAAAGCUUUAGUAGUGGAUCUUCCAAAAAAUAAAGAACAAAUCCACUUGUUAAGAAACUUAUUUUAAGUAUUUUAUGGAGAAUCAAAAGUUCUAUAAACUUAUAAUAGAUGAAUUAAAUAUUUAAAUUUUUAAAGAAUGAGAUUAUAUAUAUAAAGUACUUGGUGAAAAACUCGAGAUGGGUUAAACUCUUUUAAGCUACAAAGGUCAAAACCCAGAAAUGCAGCUUUCCAAUUUAGGCCUGGCAGAAUGACUCUCAUCAAGAGGGGUGGUGAGAAGACUCAUGUGCCAUUCAUGAGGUGGUGACCCACCAAUACACUAAUCAACAUUUACAAGUGCACCUACACAGACUUUAAGAAGCAUGUUGCUCAGUAGUACAGCUUGUGACUAGCAUGUGUGAGGCCCUGGGUUCUAUCCCCAGCACCAAAGGGUGUUAUGGGGGUGGAGAGAGAUUGAUUUCCAGAAAUUUGCCAUGAAGACAGGGAUUCCACAUGUGUACAAGGAUCCCAGGCUCAACAAUGCUGUCCCAUACCACACUGUUAUGUUAAACACUAAUCAGUGCCUAGGAAAGCUUGCAGUGAGAAAAAGGUCUCUAAAAGAAGGUAUAAGAGAGAAAUGGGAAGGGGGAGCUGGCCACUUCCCUUAUCUCCAAUCCUUGGGAAAGGAUCUGAAGAGAGUGACCUUGGUUGUAAAGGAAUAUACUCAUAAAACAUCCAAAGAGAGUCACCUGCACAGUGGGCAUGCA
rnacentral:lncRNA from 1 species